ACAAAAUGCUUUUUUAUCUGGGUGUUUGAUCAGUGUUAUACCUCAAAAGCAUGUUAGCACAUGAACAUAACAAUUUUUACCUAAGCUACGCACUGUUCCCUGCACCUUCUAUUCCUUGUGCUUAUGUUUUGCUGAAAGUGUUAGGAACAACACUUAAAGUAGGACAAUUAUGACAAUCUUCACAGGGAGGGCCGUGAGAAAACUGCUGUCUGGUGGAAUAGGGUCUAAAAGAUUUCUGAAAUGUUAGUAUUGUGCAAGUUACAGAUGCAGGCAUGUCUGAUAAGGGCGUUGAGUCCGAGAAAACAAAGUGAUGACCAAAUAACUUCAUUUUUCACGAUUUAAACCCUGCAGGAUCUGUUACGGUGACAGGCAGCAGAAUAUAUACGCUAUUGACUCCAUGGUCCAACGAAGAACAUCGUCCUUCAGCUUAUACUAUGAGCUCCCUUGAACACCCUCCACAGCUGCUCACCUUUGUGGCAGAAACAUUAGAAGACGCACACAGUGACACUGCCGUAUUUCGCCUGUGUCUCUAUACGUCUUUCUACCCUUGAGCUCAGCCCCCUUAUUACUACAACGUAAAAACAAUCCGAGGUGGUGGUGGUCUCAUUAUUACACCCAAAAAGAGGGGACCAGUACGAAUACUGGUUGCGCUGGCUUAGAGGAGGUCGGCAAGGUUCCCUUGCGUUUCCGCUGCGUCCACCACCUGCUGGAUUUUUUUAAAUUGGGUUUUGUGUCCCAAAACCACGAUAUGGUUAUGAGGGACACCGUAGUGUUCCGGCAAUUUGGCCACCUGGGGUUGCUUAACAUGCACCUAAAUCUAAGUAGACGGGCCUCAAACAUUUUCGCCUCCAUCGAAAAUGCAGCGGCCGCGGCCGGGAUUUGAAUCGCAUGCUGGAUGAGCCGGCGUUCGUCUCUUGACCUUACAGGGGUAGUAGCCUCAGCUUGUUGGCUCCUGCGUGCUUCCGAGCCAACAAGCCGAGGCUACUAUCCUUUAAGGUUAAGAGAUGAGCGUAUUAGCUGAGUGGAGUCUAUGAAAUUGUCUUGCAUAAUAGUACUGUAAUGUACACUAUCAAAUUUCGUAGAGCAAAUCUUUCCUCGCUAGUGCGUAGACCUAUGUCUCACACGUGAGGUAUUAAGAUGAAGUGUUGAUUUCUGCAAUUUCCGUGCUCCAAACUUCAAGGUUUUAGCAGCUUUGGGGCGUGGUUAGUUAAAACGGGUUAGCAACGUCACUUUGAACUGAUAUGUUUGGAGCUGUAUCUCGUCCGCCUACGUCAUAAGAAAGCGCAACAUUGCGUAUAGCAGGAAGGAAGAAGGAGAGAAAGGAAAGAUGUAUUUUACUGGACAUGUCAUCUGUUCGUCUGAAGAGAGGCAGACCAACGAUGAGGCUAACAGUUGUAUUUAUGCCCUUUUUUAGUUGAAUGCACUUUGGACACGCAUCAAUGGGUGUACCUGGAAAAAGUGGCCGCGAUGUACAUCAAGAAAAUAAAUGAGACGCACAAAGGCCGAGUGGGUUUCUGGGGUCUGACAAAAAGUUUUGCUUACUGGAGACAUCCCUAUCAUGACCACAAACGUCCUGUAGAAGGAACAGUGGACUGGACCGAAUAUUCGAAAUGCAAAGGAAAGCACAAUUUGAGAGAAACGGAAACCGACUGCACGGGGCUUUUCACGUGGAAGAUUCAUAAGGGCAUAAAUUGCCCAUUUCCUUUGUCCACAACAGCUUUACUUCCAGAAAAGUACAAAGGACUAAGCUUGAGGAUGUUUUCAUUUAAUGUCAGUGGGCUUACAAAAGUGUCCGACCAGGAGAGGUGGGGCAAGCCGACCCAUAGGCCUCAUCGAACUUUUUAUGAGGCAGGUGAACAUCAAGCUCUUUUUAAUUCAUAGUUGAAUACGAUUGAGCGUGCUUCUGUGCACUGGAAACCAGAUAGCAGCCAUCUAACGUUUAAUCACUGCACUCUAAGAAAACACGUAUAUUUAAAGAGACGCGUCAGCUUUCUUUUGGUUCCCAUGACUCCCCGUAGAGAGUGUAAGAGUGUUCACGUGUCUCUUUAAAAAGAGUCAUAUACGUGGCAAGUCAGGGCUCACAAAAAUGUCAAAAGGACUCUUUUUUCCCUAGAGUGUAUUGUGAUGUCACCAGUCAAAUACUGAAUAAAUACAGGAGUACGAUUUCUA